rnacentral:rRNA from 1 species
AUUGAACGCUGGCGGCAGGCUUAACACAUGCAAGUCGAGCGGGGGAAGGUAGCUUGCUACUGGACCUAGCGGCGGACGGGUGAGUAAUGCUUAGGAAUCUGCCUAUUAGUGGGGGACAACAUCUCGAAAGGGAUGCUAAUACCGCAUACGUCCUACGGGAGAAAGCAGGGGAUCUUCGGACCUUGCGCUAAUAGAUGAGCCUAAGUCGGAUUAGUUAGUUGGUGGGGUAAAGGCCUACCAAGGCGACGAUCUGUAGCGGGUCUGAGAGGAUGAUCCGCCACACUGGGACUGAGACACGGCCCAGACUCCUACGGGAGGCAGCAGUGGGGAAUAUUGGACAAUGGGGGGAACCCUGAUCCAGCCAUGCCGCGUGUGUGAAGAAGGCCUUAUGGUUGUAAAGCACUUUAAGCGAGGAGGAGGCUACUUUAGUUAAUACCUAGAGAUAGUGGACGUUACUCGCAGAAUAAGCACCGGCUAACUCUGUGCCAGCAGCCGCAGUAAUAC